rnacentral:rRNA from 1 species
GACAGAGGGUGCAAACGUUGUUCGGAAUUACUGGGCGUAAAGCGAGUGUAGGCGGUCCGAUAAGUCGGGUGUGAAAGCCCUGGGCUCAACCCAGGAAGUGCACUCGAAACUGCCGGGCUAGAGUAUCGGAGAGGUUGGUGGAAUUCUCGGUGUAGAGGUGAAAUUCGUAGAUAUCGAGAGGAACACCGGUGGCGAAGGCGGCCAACUGGACGAAUACUGACGCUGAGGCGCGAAAGCCAGGGGAGCAAACGGG